rnacentral:rRNA from 1 species
AAGCGGCAACAGCUCAAAUUUGAAAUCUGGCUCCUCUCGGGGUCCGAGUUGUAAUUUGUAGAGGAUGCUUCGGGUGCGGCACCGGUCUAAGUCCCUUGGAACAGGGCGUCAUAGAGGGUGAGGAUCCCGUAUGUGACCGGCGACCAAGCCCAUGUGAAGCUCCUUCGACGAGUCGAGUUGUUUGGGAAUGCAGCUCAAAAUGGGUGGUAAAUUUCAUCUAAAGCUAAAUACCGGCCAGAGACCGAUAGCGCACAAGUAGAGUGAUCGAAAGAUGAAAAGCACUUUGGAAAGAGAGUCAAAAAGUACGUGAAAUUGUUGAAAGGGAAGCGCUUGUAACCAGACCUGCCGUCGGGUGCUCCGCGGGCAUUCUUGCCCGUCUACUCACCUGUGAUCAGGCCAGCAUCGGUUUUGGCGGCCGGAUAAAGACUCGAGGANUGUAGCUUCGCUUCGGGGAAGCGUUAUAGCCUCUUGUGCAAUACGGCCAGCCGGGACCGAGGACCGCGCUUCGGCUAGGAUGCUGGCGUAAUGGUUGCAAGCGACCCGUCUUGAAACACGGACCAAGGAGUCUAACAUCUAUGCGAGUGUUUGGGUGUUAAACCCAUGCGCGGAAUGAAAGUGAACGGAGGUGGGAACCCUCAAGGGCGCACCAUCGACCGAUCCGGAAGUUUACGGAUGGAUUUGAGUAUGAGCAUAGCUGUUGGGACCCGAAAGAUGGUGAACUAUGCCUGAAUAGGGUGAAGCCAGAGGAAACUCUGGUGGAGGCUCGCAGCGGUUCUGACGUGCAAAUCGAUCGUCAAAUUUGGGUAUAGGGGCGAAAGACUAAUCGAA